AUACUUACCUGGCAAGGGAGACACCGUGAUCAUCAAGGCGGUUCACCCAGGGCGAGGCUCGGCCAUUGCACUGCGGCUGUGCUGACCCCUGCGAAUUUCCCAAAUGUGGAAAUCUCGAUUGCAUAAUUUCUGGUAGUGGGGGACUGCGUUCGCGCUCUCCCCUG
ensembl:snRNA U1 U1 spliceosomal RNA